AAUUGCUUCCAGGAAGCUUCUGGAAAUGUUUUUUUGGGAGCCAGGUGUUCCGGGAGAACAUCUGCACGGUAAGCAGCUGGCAGGAUUAGGGGCAACUCCCACCGGGCUCCUCCAAAGGGCUGCGCUCCUCCCAGCAAAGUACGGCUGUACUUGGAAAGAGGGGUAAGGAG